AACGAACGCUGGCGGCAGGCCUAACACAUGCAAGUCGAGCGAGGACUUCGGUUCUAGCGGCGGACGGGUGCGUAACGCGUGGGAAUGUGCCCUUCUCUACGGAAUAGCCCUGGGAAACUGGGGGUAAUACCGUAUACGCCCUAUUGGGGAAAGAUUUAUCGGAGAAGGAUCAGCCCGCGUUGGAUUAGGUAGUUGGUGGGGUAAUGGCCUACCAAGCCGACGAUCCAUAGCUGGUUUGAGAGGAUGAUCAGCCACACUGGGACUGAGACACGGCCCAGACUCCUACGGGAGGCAGCAGUGGGGAAUCUUAGACAAUGGGGGCAACCCUGAUCUAGCCAUGCCGCGUGAGUGAUGAAGGCCUUAGGGUUGUAAAGCUCUUUCAGCUGGGAAGAUAAUGACGGUACCAGCAGAAGAAGCCCCGGCUAACUCCGUG
rnacentral:rRNA from 1 species